GAGAUCAUACUUCACAGAAUCAUUUCUGUAGUGUGUAUUUCUUCGCUAUCAGCGAAAUGCGACGGAGCGCAGCCGUGAUGAUGUGGCAUGGCGUCAUCUCCUGAGCGGGAAGAAGUGUUUCGUUUUGACAUUUAUGUCAUGAACGUUA
rnacentral:snoRNA from 1 species